UACAGAGGGUGCGAGCGUUGUCCGGAAUUACUGGGCGUAAAGGGCGCGUAGGCGGAUAGUUAAGUGAGAUGUGAAAUCCCUGGGCUUAACCUAGGAACUGCAUCUGAAACUGGCUGUCUGGAGUGCGGUAGAGGGUAGUGGAAUUUCCGGUGUAGCGGUGAAAUGCGUAGAUAUCGGAAGGAACACCAGUGGCGAAGGCGGCUACCUGGACUGACACUGACGCUGAGGCGCGAAAGCGUGGGGAGCAAACAGG
rnacentral:rRNA from 1 species